rnacentral:rRNA from 1 species
AUGAACGCUGGCGGCGUGCCUAAUACAUGCAAGUCGAGCGAACAGACGAGGAGCUUGCUCCUCUGACGUUAGCGGCGGACGGGUGAGUAACACGUGGAUAACCUACCUAUAAGACUGGGAUAACUUCGGGAAACCGGAGCUAAUACCGGAUAAUAUAUUGAACCGCAUGGUUCAAUAGUGAAAGACGGUUUUGCUGUCACUUAUAGAUGGAUCCGCGCCGCAUUAGCUAGUUGGUAAGGUAACGGCUUACCAAGGCAACGAUGCGUAGCCGACCUGAGAGGGUGAUCGGCCACACUGGAACUGAGACACGGUCCAGACGCCUACGGGAGGCAGCAGUAGGGAAUCUUCCGCAAUGGGCGAAAGCCUGACGGAGCAACGCCGCGUGAGUGAUGAAGGUCUUCGGAUCGUAGAACUCUGUUAUUAGGGAGGAACAAAUGUGUAAGUAACUAUGCACGUCUUGACGGUACCUAAUCAGAAAGCCACGGCUAACUACGUG